AGUGAACGCUGGCGGUAGGCCUAACACAUGCAAGUCGAACGAGUGGCGGACGGGUGAGGAAUACAUCGGAAUCUGCUCUGUCGUGGGGGAUAACGUCGGGAAACUUAAGCUAAUACCGCAUACGAUUGAAUGAGCCGAUGUCGGAUUAGCUAGUUGGCGGGGUAAAGGCCCACCUAGGCGACGAUCCGUAGCUGGUCUGAGAGGAUGACCAGCCACACUGGAACUGAGACACGGUCCAGACUCCUACGGGAGGCAGCAGUGGGGAAUAUUGGACAAUGGGCGCAAGCCUGAUCCAGCCAUACCGCGUGGGUGAAGAAGGCCUUCGGGUUGUAAAGCCCUUUCGUUGGGGAAGCGGUACCCAAAGAAUAAGCACCGGCUAACUUCGUGCCAGCCGCCGCGGUAAUUC
rnacentral:rRNA from 1 species